rnacentral:misc_RNA from 1 species
GAUGAAGAACGCAGUGAAAUGCGAUAAGUAAUGUGAAUUGCAGAAUUCAGUGAAUCAUCGAAUCUUUGAACGCACAUUGCGCCCGGGAGCAUUCUCCCGGGCAUGCCUGUUCGAGCGUCAUUUCAACCCUCGAUUUCCCUUUGGGGAAGUCGGCCGUUGGAGAUCGGCAGCACUGCCGGCUCCCAAAUACAGUGGCGACCCGCCGCGGGGACCCCUGCGUAGUAACUUACACUCGCACCGGAAACCAGACGUGUCACGCCGUAAAACCCCCAACUUUCUGAACGUUGACCUCGGAUCAGGUAGGAAUACCCGCUGAACUUAAGCAUAUUAAUAAGCGGAGGA